CAGUCAACAUGACAAGCAGCAAACAAUCUGUCUCUUACAGCUGAGCACUUACAAUUUCAGAUUUAAUCAAAGAUGACUUAUAGACUGCUUAUUUUAUUCAUUUUUAUCUUUAAUUCGUAUGGAUCUUUUGGCAAAGACGCUGUCAAUCAACCAAAGGAGGACAGAACUGCCAUUGAAGGAGAGCAGAUUACUCUGAACUGUGAAUAUGAAACAGCUCAACCUGAUCCAUAUCUUUACUGGUACAUUCAACGCUCAAACAACCUCCCUGAAUAUAUACUGAUGAGAAACAAAUAUAGAUCGAGCAACAGUUCUGAUUUUAAAGACAGAUUUGAUGCCAGAUUGGACACAAAAUCAGUUCGUCUGAUAAUUCAGGAUCUUCAUGUGUCUGACUCUGCUGUGUAUUACUGUGCUCUGCAGCCCACUGUGACUAAAACACAUUCAACACUCAUACAAUAACACUGUGAUCAAACAAUCAAAUUCAUCUUCAUCACAACACGACUGCAGUGUUAGCUGACAUCUCAUUGGCACUAUUGUUGGAUUGUUGUGGCAGCCUAUAAACAGAUUAGAAUUGAUUAUUGU